GGAUUAGAUACCCUGGUAGUCCACACCGUAAACGAUGAAUGCCAGUCGUCGGGUAGCAUGCUAUUCGGUGACACACCUAACGGAUUAAGCAUUCCACCUGGGGAGUACGUUCGCAAGAAUGAAACUCAAAGGAAUUGACGGGGGCCCGCACAAGCGGUGGAGCAUGUGGUUUAAUUCGAUGAUACGCGAGGAACCUUACCUGGGCUACAAUGCCUCUGACAGACGCCGAAAGGUGUUUUUCCUUCGGGACAGAGUGCAAGGUGCUGCAUGGUUGUCGUCAGCUCGUGCUG
rnacentral:rRNA from 1 species